CAGUCGAACGGUGAACACCAGAGCUUGCUCUGUGGGAUCAGUGGCGAACGGGUGAGUAACACGUGAGCAACCUACCCCUGACUCUGGGAUAAGCGCUGGAAACGGCGUCUAAUACUGGAUACGAGUGGCGACCGCAUGGUCAGCUACUGGAAAGAUUUAUUGGUUGGGGAUGGGCUCGCGGCCUAUCAGCUUGUUGGUGAGGUAAUGGCUCACCAAGGCGUCGACGGGUAGCCGGCCUGAGAGGGUGACCGGCCACACUGGGACUGAGACACGGCCCAGACUCCUACGGGAGGCAGCAGUGGGGAAUAUUGCACAAUGGGCGCAAGCCUGAUGCAGCAACGCCGCGUGAGGGAUGACGGCCUUCGGGUUGUAAACCUCUUUUAGCAGGGAAGAAGCGAAAGUGACGGUACCUGCAGAAAAAGCGCCGGCUAACUACGUGCCAGCAGCCGCGGUAAUACGUAGGGCGCAAGCGUUAUCCGGAAUUAUUGGGCGUAAAGAGCUCGUAGGCGGUUUGUCGCGUCUGCUGUGAAAUCCGGAGGCUCAACCUCCGGCCUGCAGUGGGUACGGGCAGACUAGAGUGCGGUAGGGGAGAUUGGAAUUCCUGGUGUAGCGGUGGAAUGCGCAGAUAUCAGGAGGAACACCGAUGGCGAAGGCAGAUCUCUGGGCCGUAACUGACGCUGAGGAGCGAAAGGGUGGGGGAGCAAA
rnacentral:rRNA from 1 species